GACGAACGCUGGCGGCGUGCUUAACACAUGCAAGUCGAACGGAAAGGCCCUGCUUUUGUGGGGUGCUCGAGUGGCGAACGGGUGAGUAACACGUGAGUAACCUGCCCUUGACUUUGGGAUAACUUCAGGAAACUGGGGCUAAUACCGGAUAGGAGCUCCUGCUGCAUGGUGGGGGUUGGAAAGUUUCGGCGGUUGGGGAUGGACUCGCGGCUUAUCAGCUUGUUGGUGGGGUAGGGGCUUACCAAGGGUUUGACGGGUAGCCGGCCUGAGAGGGUGAACGGCCACCUUGGGACUGCGAUACGGCCCAGACUCCUACGGGAGGCAGCAGUGGGGAAUAUUGCACAAUGGGCGGAAGUCUGAUGCAGCAACGCCGCGUGCGGGAUGACGGCCUUCGGGUUGUAAACCGCUUUCGCCUGUGACGAAGCGUGAGUGACGGUAAUGGGUAAAGAAGCACCGGCUAACUACGUG
rnacentral:rRNA from 1 species